rnacentral:misc_RNA from 1 species
AAGUCGUAACAAGGUUUCCGUAGGUGAACCUGCGGAAGGAUCAUUUCCGUAUCAAUUUGAGGCUUUUUGGGAUGGGUUUUUUUUGAAAGGGGUUUGAGGGCAACCUUGAAUUUCUGAGAAAAGGACUCGUUUCAAAAGCUUUAAAGAGAUUGUGUGGUUUAAAUGCGGAUAGAUUAUGGAGAGCAUGCCAAAGGAGGUAAAAGACCUGAGGCAUGUUUCUUCAUUUUCUAUUCACCAUUUUUUAAUACAACAAAACACGAUGAUUACUAUUGUAUCAACCAAGAGGAUCUUUGAUUACUUUACUGUAGUUGAAGGUUCACUACCAAAAUAUUAAUGACAAACAACUGUCAACGGUGGAUCUCUUGGCUCGU